ACCUAGCUCUAAUCCUAGCCCUAAACCUAGCCUUAAUACUAACCAUAACCCUAAUCCCAGCCCUAACGGUAUUUUGACCCUCUCUCUAAACCUAGGUAAAACAUCAUACCCUACCCUAAUCCUAUUCCUAACCCUAGCCCUAAACUUAGGCAUAGCCACAACAUUAACCCUAGCCCUAAUCCUAGCACGAAUUUAGCCUAACCCUAACCAUAACCCUAAAAAUAACCCUAAGACUAACUCUAACUUUCACCCUAGCCCUAACCCUACUUUUAAAUCUAUCCCUUAAAAUAACCCAAACCCUAACCCUAAACCUAGCCCCAACCCUAGCCCUAUAUUUAUCCCUAGCCCUAAACCUAGAUCUAACCCUAAAUCUAAAUCUAACCCUAACCCUAAGCCAAAACCUCACUCUAACACUAGCCCUAACCCUAAUGUUAAUUGGAAAACUAUCCCUAACCCUAGCCCUAGCACUGAAACAAAUCUGAGUCAUAGGCUUAACCCUAAUCCUUAACCUAAACCUAACAAUAACCCUACACUUACCCCUAACCCUAGCCCUAAUUCAAGUCCUAACCUUAACACUAGAACUUACUUUGACCCUGAAUCAGACCUUGAAACUAACCCUAGCUCUAAACAUCACCCUAACCCUAAACCUAACCCUAAAACCAGCCCUAAUUGCAACCCUAGUUAUUACAUUAGCCAUAUUCCUGUGCUAACAGAACACCUAGCCCUAAUAUGAGACCUAAACCUAGCUUUAAAUCUAACACUAACCUUAAGCCUAGCUGUGGUGAGCCGCUUCUGCCGUUUCUGCAGACUAUGGUCGCCAUUACAAGAUGACGCUGGCUCCGCUGUGGUCUGUGACAAACAACUUCUUAUCUGGGAAAGUUGGCACAUGAUUUUUCACCACCCUGUGAGAAAGCUCCACGCGGCAGCUUUGCAUUGGGGCUUGGGAUGCUUUAUUAAGGCUGGGAGGGGCAUCUGGGAGAGAGAAGAAGAAAUAUCAA
rnacentral:lncRNA from 1 species